rnacentral:rRNA from 1 species
UACGUAGGGCGCAAGCGUUGUCCGGAAUUAUUGGGCGUAAAGAGCUCGUAGGCGGUUUGUCGCGUCUGCUGUGAAAACCUAAGGCUCAACCUUGGGCUUGCAGUGGGUACGGGCAGACUAGAGUGCGGUAGGGGUGACGAGAAUUCUCGGUGUAGCGGUGAAAUGCGUAGAUAUCGAGAGGAACACCUGCGGCGAAGGCGGGUUGCUGGGCUGACACUGACGCUGAGGCGCGAAAGCUAGGGGAGCGAACGGG